AGUCAUCCCUCAAGGUUCUCACUUUGAGAUCUGGCAGAGCCUGGAGCUCCGUACUCUGCUGAUGGUGUCUGCUUCCCUCAGACCAAGGUUCUGAUUCCGAGUCCCCUGAGGUGGCAGUGGGGGGAAGGGUGUGGUGGGGGGACAAGGCUGCUGGGGUCUUUCAGGGCUGACAUGAGGGUCUGAGCUGAAUUAUGUGGCCCCUCUAUGUGGUGUGGGUGGACCCUCAGUCCUCACUCAGGAGGGUCCUCUUCUUGACUCUUGGCUCUUUUAGGAGAUACUCUGUUUCUGUCACCUCUGAGCAUUUGCACAGCUGCACCCCUUGCAGAGAAUGGCUGCGGGUCCCAGGCCAGAUUCUCCCUGUGGGUUUGCAGCACCUAAGAUUGUAGUGACCUCUGGGAGAAGAGGCACACCUUCCCACGGGGGCUCUUCCCCAGCUAGAAGAGGAUUUUGCAAAACUUUUGUACUAAAUGAUUUAUUUUUACACUGAAGAAACUGAGUAGCUGCAAUAAAUUUGUGGAAGUCCUGAGUUUUGAAGUUACCUAACAAUUCCUAUUCCACUUUAGUGAUUUUCAUAAUUUAAUUCGCAUUCGUAUAGUAAGAAACGAAUUUUAAAUCUAUGCCAAUUGUAUAUGUGCAUUAUAUUUAUGUUUAUAUGCAUAAACACAUAUGUAUGUAUAUGUUUAUAUUAUAUAUGUGUAAUUAUAUGAAUGUAUGUGUAUAUAUCUUUACAUAUAUUUAUACAUAUAUGUAUGUCGACUAUACGUACUUAUUUUAUCAAACAAUAUCUACUCAUACAAUGUGUGAUUCACUCAUACUAUUCUAUUUCUAGUUCAUUAUAUAUAUUUGAUUAAAAUAAUAGUAUUUUGGAAGGUAGUCCUAACCUACUCUUUGUUUCUAGUUGUUAUUAGCAGAAUUCUGGAGCCAUGGUGUCUCAAUCAAUCCAAUUUUCCUGGUGUCCUGAUAUUACCCCUGGGCUACUGGCUUCGUGUUUUGAGGUGCAGACUCGGAUCCUACAUUGAUGUGGGGUGGUCCUUUAAAACUUUUCCUGCAACUCACCCUGUCGUCUGCAGUGGCUGCAGACCUCCUCAACCUCCCUGCCUCUCCAACUGCCCAGAACACAAGUACCAGUUCAACACAGUUUUUUCCCCAGGGUUUUCUAUGUUUUGUUGUUUAGACUUUGUUGCUGAUAUUGUUGUUUUAUUUUUCUUUUUCCCUUCUAUAUUUUUACACAGUUGAUUUUGGGAGUAGAGCACAGCAGCCUGGGCUUGAUUGUCACUUUGGCAGCUACAGCAUUCACUGCAGCUGUGAACGGUAGCAGUGAAAGCAUACAUCAAUGACUUGCUCCUGACGAGAAUGGGAAUGCUUCUAACAUUUCACAUUCAAGAGAAGGAGCCUUGGAGAAUUCGUUGAAUAAUUGCCCGUAUUUUGGGAUUAUUUGGAAGAGUUAAUAUGGUGAUUCGUUUUCCCUGACCACUUGGGGGAACUGACCCACAAAACUGCCUGCCUUAGAACGGUAGAGGGUGGAUUGAGCUUUAAAUACAUUUUCAGUUUGUGGACGUACCAUUGGUUUUAUCCAUUCACCAAUUGGAAAAAGUAUUGAUUGUCAAUUUCAAAUAAGCUGCUAUAUAUGUUUUUGUGUACGUGAUUUUGUGUGUAUGAACCUGUUUCCAAUUUUCCUUGAUAAAACCUAGGAGUACAAUUGCUGUGUGUAAUGGUAAGUCUAAGUUUUGCUAUAUUAGAAAUAGCCAAAGCCCCUUCUAGAGUGAAUGUGUUCUUUUUCUUCUCUACCAGCAAUGAAAGAGAAUGCCACAUCUUUUGUACAAUUUGGUAUUUUCAGGUUGUUGCAUUGUAUCAAUUGUAACAGGUGGGUAGAAGAAUGUUACUGCUGUUUACAUUUGUAUUUUUAUUGAAUAAUUAUGGUAAUCAUCUUUUCAUAUGCUUUUUUGUGAUCUGUGUAUCUUCAUUGGUGAAGUCUUGAAAUCAUUUACUAUUUUAUUGGACUCUUCAUUUUUAUGUGGUUGCAUGUUAUAAGGUGUUUAUUCAUUCAGUAUAUGAAUCCUUUAUCCGACACGGGGUUUACAAGUAUUUUCUCCCCAUUUUUGGCUUUUUUCCCCAUUCCUUUAAGUGUUUUUUUUUUUUUAGUAAACAUUUUAGAGUAAUUUUAAAUUUACAGAAAAGUUGCGAAGACAGUUAAGAGGGUUUUCCUAUACAUCAUGUCCAGUUUCUCCUAUUAUUAACAUCAUGCAAUAAUAUGAUACAUUCUUCAUAAUUCAUAAAUCAAUAUUCACCUGCACAUUCCUGUCAUUGUUUGAGGAUCCCAUCUAGGAUACCAUGCUACUUUAGUCUAAGCUGUGAUAGUUUCUCAGACUAUUCUUGUUUUUGAUGACUUUAACAGUUUUGGGGAGUAUCGAUCAGGCUAUUUGUGGAAUUACCCUCAUUUGGUAUUUGUCUGAGUUUUUUCAUAUAUAGACUUGAGUAAUGGCUUUGGGGUAGGAGACCAGAGAGGCGAAAUGCCAUUCUCAUUACACGAUAUUUUAGCAACAUGACUCAUCGCUGUUGAUGUUGACUGAUGAACUGGCUGAGGUAGUGUUGUCAGGAUUUCCCUCUGCAAGGUUAUUACAUUCCCCCCUUUCUGUAUUGUGCUUUAUAAAAGAAAGUCACUAAGGGCAGCCAUUGGGUAGUAGGGAAGUAUGGUCCACCUUCUUGGGAAGGGGUAGUAUUGACAUGAAUGAUUUGGGAUUCUUCUCAAUGGGAGAUUUGUUUAUUCUCCCCCAUUAUUUGUAUUUAUUUAACCUUCAAUUUGUCUCGGCUGAACUCAUGGUAAUUUAUUAUAUGUUUGGGGUUAUAAUUCAACACCACUUUUAUUUUGCUGCUCAGAUUGUUCCAUCUUUGUCCAUUGGAAGCUCUUUCAGUUGGCUCUGAUGUCCCCUUCACGUAACUGAGCCAUUACAUUUGUUUGUAGCUCUGUCUUACUUUAUGGUAUGACAAGAUGAUGCAGGCUCAUUUUUAUAUUUCCUGUUCCAGUCAUAGAAGAGUCAAUUUUCCAUGGUUUCUGCUUCCUUUUAUGGGAGAAGAGUAUUGGAAUGUGAGAGGUGGGUGCUUGGCAUGCUCAUUGUUCCUGAGGAUUUGUUAUUCCUAGCCACCUCAAUUCUCAGAGUAAAGAUAUAUAUUUUGGUAUAUUAACCUGUGUAUAUACACAUAUCUAUAAUCAGAAUUCUUAAACCCAGUCCCUGUGAGAAAUAGCUUUAGAAGCCAGACAAUACUGCUUCAGUACAGUUUCUUUUAACUUCGGUCCCAGAGACUAACUUCCACAGGUACUUAGGACAGCACCAUAUCCCCAGAUACUCAUUAGAGGUUGUUUCAUAGAUUUGUAACACAGUUAUAUUGUUUUGUCAUAUUCUAUACUCCACCUUGGCAUUCCUCGACCUCCUAAUUUUUUCAAUUUUGCAUACAUUGAGGUUUACUCUUUGUGCUUUAAGGUUUUAUGCUUUUUGACAAAUGCAUAAUAUAUUCCAUUUUUUGACAGCAUGUCAUCAACCAUGACAUGACAAAAUCAAUCAUUACAGUAGCCUAGAGAAUAGUUUCACCUGUCUAAUAAAUUCCUUCUGCUUAUCCUAGUCAUACCUUUUCCCCACCCCUGAUCCCUGGCCACAACAGGUAUUUUUACUGUCGUUAUAGUCUUGUCUUUCCAGAACGUCAAAUAAAUUGCAUCAUAUACUAUGUAGUCUUUUCGGACUGGCUUCUUUUACUUAGAAUUAAGCAUUUAAGAUUUAUUCAUGUUUUUGUGUGCCUAGAUAAGUAAAUAUUUUGGUUGAUGAAUAGUGUUCUGUUGUUGUUGGACCACAGUUUGUUUAUUCAUCUGUCUCUUGAAGAACAUCUUUGUUGUUUCCAGUUUUGGCCAAUUAUUAAAUAAGCUGCCACACCCAUUCAUAUGCAGGUUUUUUUUGUGGGCAUAAAUUUGCAAAUUAGUUCAAUGUAUACCUAGGAGUGUCAAGAAUUUGUUCAGCUUUGUAAAAAAAUCAACUGACAAACCAUCUUUGAAAGUGGCUGUACUACUUUGCAUUCCCAACAGCAACAAAUGAGAGUUCCUUGUUGCCAGGAAUUGGUAUUGUCAGUAUUUGGAUUUUGGACAUUCUAA
rnacentral:lncRNA from 1 species